GCCCAGACUCCUACGGGAGGCAGCAGUGGGGAAUAUUGCACAAUGGGGGAAACCCUGAUGCAGCGACGCCGCGUGAGCGAUGAAGUAUUUCGGUAUGUAAAGCUCUAUCAGCAGGGAAGAAGAUGACGGUACCUGACUAAGAAGCCCCGGCUAACUACGUGCCAGCAGCCGCGGUAAUACGUAGGGGGCAAGCGUUAUCCGGAUUUACUGGGUGUAAAGGGAGCGUAGACGGCGAUGCAAGCCAGAUGUGAAAGCCCGGGGCUCAACCCCGGGACUGCAUUUGGAACUGUGUGGCUGGAGUGUCGGAGAGGCAGGCGGAAUUCCUAGUGUAGCGGUGAAAUGCGUAGAUAUUAGGAGGAACACCAGUGGCGAAGGCGGCCUGCUGGACGAUGACCGACGUUGAGGCUCGAAAGCGUGGGGAGCAAACAGGAUUAGAUACCCUCGUA
rnacentral:rRNA from 1 species